ACCUGAAAUUAUGCAGAAUAUGGUCAUCAUAUGAAUGAGAUUACUCUUGACCAAAGAAAUGCAGUGUUAAUAGUUACUGGGGAAAAGAGUGCCGCUGAUAAGCCUUUGCUCCUGAUAAAAGCACUCAGUUAAAACUGAACUAGGCAGAUGUAUAUGUUUUAAAUAUUAACAUGGUUGCAAUUUCUAUUUUUAAUAGAUAAAAUAUGAAUAACUGAAGGACUGAUCCAGCUUUUUUUAAUCACAGGAGCAGAAAAAACAGUCUUGAUCCUGAUCCCAUUGAAGUCAGUGGAUGUUUUCAAUUGAUUUAACAUUCAGAAACUACCAAGAACCAAAUUUUGCUGUCCUUAUGAGUAAAACUUCCAGUGAACAUUUGCUUAAGAAAGGAUCUUGGAAAAUUUUGUCCUAACUUUAGGUGUUGCUCCAUGGCUCCUUGUGUGGAAGCUUUCCACAGAUCUUAAUGUGCAAAGUAGUUUCUGUGCAAUGUAUUUAACCAAACCUCCCCCUUCCUCCCCUCCCCCCAAAAACAAACAAA